UUCUGAAAGGAUGAGCGUUGAUCCUGCUACUCCAGUGAUGCUGCAGAUAUCUGAUGUGCAGGAGUCUGAUGAGGGAAUAUACACAUGUACAGCUACAGAUUAUACAGAGAUAAAGACAAAAUGGAACUUGACCAUUUCUUCAGGUCACCCAUCAAAACUGAUCCUUAUCAGUAUUUGGUGCCAUAUCAGGGACAAUCUGUAUCAUCAUUGUCAUCAUCCUCAUAUUAUGUAUUCACAGGAUAAAGAAAAAGAAGAGAAACUCUGAAUCCCAGGAAGCAAGGCCAUCAAACCAAUCAAGAGAAGGACAGGAGUUUGAAAUGUCACAGAGACCGGACCGGAGGGGUAACAGACAGAGCAGCCAGUAUUUUGAGAGAUACAACUCUGUGUAUGGUCAGUCCUGAAGUCAUAUAGGUGUGAGGCGGCUUGUUGAAAAAAAAAAAAAAUUUGAAAAACUCUGUGAUGGACAAGAGUUGUCACUGUACAGACAGGAAAUGGAACCUUUCAAACAAACAAGGCUGACUGCAGUCAGUUUUUUAUUGCACAAACGACUCACUGCAACACACACGUGUUAUAUAUGGAGGUGACACAGGACACA